UACGUAGGUACCGAGCGUUAUCCGGAUUUACUGGGCGUAAAGCGUGUUCAGGCGGCCUGGCAAGUCGGGCAUGAAAUCUCUCGGCUCAACCGGGAGAGGCUGUCCGAUACUGCUGGGCUUGAGGACGGUAGAGGGUAGUGGAAUUCCCGGUGUAGUGGUGAAAUGCGUAGAUAUCGGGAGGAACACCAGUGGCGAAGGCGACUACCUGGCCUGUUCUUGACGCUGAGGCGCGAAAGCUAGGGAGCAACGGG
rnacentral:rRNA from 1 species